GACGAACGCUGGCGGCGUGCUUAACACAUGCAAGUCGAACGGAGUGGCGAACGGGUGAGUAACACGUGGGUGAUCUGCCUUGCACUUCGGGAUAAGCUUGGGAAACUGGGUCUAAUACCGGAUAGUGCAAGAUGAGCUCGCGGCCUAUCAGCUUGUUGGUGGGGUAAUUGCGUCCCAAGGCGUCGACGGCUCGCCGGCCUGAGAGGGUGUACCGCCACAUUGGGACUGAGAUAGGGCCCAGUCUGCCACGGGGGGCAGCAGUGGGGAAUAUUGCACAAUGGGCGGAAGCCGGAUGCAGCGACGCCGCGUGGGGGAUGAAGGCCUUCGGGUUGGAAACUCCGUUCGACAGGGACGCGGUACCUGUAUAAGAAGCACCGGCUAACUACGUGCCAGCAGCCGCGGUAAUAC
rnacentral:rRNA from 1 species